ACGCACGCUGGCGGCGUGCUUAACACAUGCACGUCGAACGGAAAGGCCCUGCUUGCAGGGUGCUCGAGUGGCGAACGGGUGAGUAACACGUGGGUGAUCUGCCCCUUACUUUGGGAUAAGCCUGGGAAACUGGGUCUAAUACUGGAUAGGACCAUGCUGUAGGUGGUGUGGUGGAAAGAUUAGUUUCGGUAAGGGAUGAGCUCGCGGCCUAUCAGCUUGUUGGUGGGGUAAUGGCCUACCAAGGCGUCGACGGGUAGCCGGCCUGAGAGGGUGGACGGCCACAUUGGGACUGAGAUACGGCCCAGACUCCUACGGGAGGCAGCAGUGGGGAAUAUUGCACAAUGGGCGCAAGCCUGAUGCAGCGACGCCGCGUGGGGGAUGACGGCCUUCGGGUUGUAAACUCCUUUCAGCCAUGACGAAGCCCUUGUGGUGACGGUAGUGGUAGAAGAAGCACCGGCUAACUACGUG
rnacentral:rRNA from 1 species